GCUCAGGAGGCUGAGGUGGGAGGACCGCUUGAGCCCAGGAGUUCUUGGCUGUAGUGCGCUAUGCCGAUUGGGUAUCCGCACUAAGUUCGGCAUGACUGUGGUAACCUCCCGGGAGUGAGGGACCACCAGGUUGCCUAAGGAGGGGUGAACUGGCCCCGGCCGGAAAUGGAGCAGGUCAGAACUCCUGUGCUGAUCAGUAGUGGGAUUGCACCUGUGAAUAGCCACUGCACUCCAGCCUGGGCAACAUAGCAAGACCCAGUCUCAA
ensembl:misc_RNA Metazoa_SRP Metazoan signal recognition particle RNA